rnacentral:rRNA from 1 species
AGCAGCCGCGGUAAUUCCAGCUCCAAUAGCGUAUAUUAAAGUUGUUGCAGUUAAAAAGCUCGUAGUUGAACUUCGGGGUUUACCCAUUGGUCAGGCUUAAUUGUCUGUACUGGUGAGAUAAAUCUCUACCUUCUGAGGAACUUUCAUGUCAUUAAUUUGGUGUGAUUGGAAAUCAGGACUGUUACUUUGAAAAAAUUAGAGUGUUUAAAGCAGGCUAACGUCUGAAUACAUUAGCAUGGAAUAAUGAAAUAGGACGGACUGAUUCUAUUUCGUUGGUUUCUAGGAUCACCGUAAUGAUUAAUAGGGAUAGUUGGGGGCAUUAGUAUUCAAUUGUCAGAGGUGAAAUUCUUGGAUUUAUUGAAGACUAACUACUGCGAAAGCAUUUGCCAAGGAUGUUUUCAUUAAUCAAGAACGAAAGUUAGGGGAUCGAAGACGAUCAGAUACCGUCGUAGUCUUAACCAUAGACUAUGCCGACUAGGGAUCGGACGAAGUUAAUUUUAUAAUGACGCGUUC